rnacentral:tRNA from 1 species
UCCCAUGUGGCUGAGAUGGUAAAGAAUCUGCCUGCAAUGAAGGAGACCUGGGUUUGAUCCCCAGAUUGGGAA